AGAGUUUGAUCCUGGCUCAGGACGAACGCUGGCGGCGUGCUUAACACAUGCAAGUCGAGCGGUAAGGCUCCUUCGGGAGUACACGAGCGGCGAACGGGUGAGUAACACGUGAGCAAUCUGCCCUUCACAUCGGGAUAACUCCGGGAAACCGAAGCUAAUACCGAAUACGACCACUUCAGGCAUCUGAUGGUGGUGGAAAGUUCCGGCGGUGAAGGAUGAGCUCGCGGCCUAUCAGCUUGUUGGUGGGGUAACGGCCCACCAAGGCUUCGACGGGUAGCCGGCCUGAGAGGGUGACCGGCCACACUGGGACUGAGACACGGCCCAGACUCCUACGGGAGGCAGCAGUGGGGAAUAUUGGACAAUGGGCGAAAGCCUGAUCCAGCAACGCCGCGUGAGGGAUGACGGCCUUCGGGUUGUAAACCUCUUUCAGCAGGGACGAAGCGCAAGUGACGGUACCUGCAGAAGAAGCACCGGCCAACUACGUGCCAGCAGCCGCGGUAAUACGUAGGGUGCGAGCGUUGUCCGGAAUUAUUGGGCGUAAAGGGCUCGUAGGCGGUCUGUUGCGUCGGGAGUGAAAACUCAGGGCUUAACCCUGAGCCUGCUUCCGAUACGGGCAGACUAGAGGUAUGCAGGGGAGAACGGAAUUCCUGGUGUAGCGGUGAAAUGCGCAGAUAUCAGGAGGAACACCGGUGGCGAAGGCGGUUCUCUGGGCAUUACCUGACGCUGAGGAGCGAAAGUGUGGGGAGCGAACAGGAUUAGAUACCCUGGUAGUCCACACCGUAAACGUUGGGCGCUAGGUGUGGGACUCAUUCCACGAGUUCCGUGCCGCAGCUAACGCAUUAAGCGCCCCGCCUGGGGAGUACGGCCGCAAGGCUAAAACUCAAAGGAAUUGACGG
rnacentral:rRNA from 1 species